rnacentral:rRNA from 1 species
GACGAACGCUGGCGGCGUGCUUAACACAUGCAAGUCGAACGGAAGGACCGUACGUUCUUGGGGUUACGGGUGGGGAAAGGGGGAAGGAACAGGUAAGUAACCGGCCCUUGAUUUUGGGAUAACUUAAGGAAGCGGGGCUUAAUACCGUAUAGCAGCCCCCCUUCCAGGGUGGGGGUGGGAAAGUUUCGGCGGUCGGGGUUGGACUCGCGGCUUAUGGGCUUGUUGGUGGGGUAGUGGCUUACCAAGGCUUGGACGGGUAGCCGGCUUGAGAGGGUGACCGGCCACAUUGGGACUGAGAUACGGCCCAGACUCCUACGGGAGGCAGCAGUGGGGAAUAUUGCACAAUGGGCGGAAGCCUGAUGCAGCAACGCCGCGUGCGGGAUGACGGCCUUCGGGUUGUAAACCGCUUUCGCCUGUGACGAAGCGUGAGUGACGGUAAUGGGUAAAGAAGCACCGGCUAACUACGUG